GGUUAAGCGACUAAGCGUACACGGUGGAUGCCCUGGCAGUCAGAGGCGAUGAAGGACGUGCUAAUCUGCGAUAAGCGCCGGUAAGGUGAUAUGAACCGUUAUAACCGGCGAUUUCCGAAUGGGGAAACCCAGUGUGACUCGUCACACUAUCAUUAACUGAAUCCAUAGGUUAAUGAGGCGAACCGGGGGAACUGAAACAUCUAAGUACCCCGAGGAAAAGAAAUCAACCGAGAUUCCCCCAGUAGCGGCGAGCGAACGGGGAGGAGCCCAGAGCCUGAAUCAGCAUGUGUGUUAGUGGAAGCGUCUGGAAAGGCGCGCGAUACAGGGUGACAGCCCCGUACACAAAAGCGCAC
rnacentral:rRNA from 1 species